rnacentral:rRNA from 1 species
CCUACGGGUGGCAGCAGUGAGGAAUAUUGGUCAAUGGGCGCAAGCCUGAACCAGCCAAGUCGCGUGAGGGAAGACGGUCCUAUGGAUUGUAAACCUCUUUUGUCGGGGAGCAAAAGACGCACCGCGUGGCAUUCCGAGAUUACCCGAAGAAAAAGCAUCGGCUAACUCCGUGCCAGCAGCCGCGGUAAUACGGAGGAUGCGACCGUUUUCCGGAUUUAUUGGGUUUAAAGGGUGCGCAGGCGGAAGAUCAAGUCAGCGGUAAAAUUGAGGGGCUCAACCUCUUCGGGCCGUUGAAACUGGUUUUCUGGAGUGAGCGAGAAGUAUGCGGAAUGCGUGGUGUAGCGGUGAAAUGCAUAGAUAUCACGCAGAACUCCGAUUGCGAAGGCAGCAUACCGGCGCUCAACUGACGCUCAUGCACGAAAGUGUGGGUAUCGAACAGGAUUAGAUACCCUAGUAGUC